UCCCCAGUGGCGCAAUUGGUUAGCGCACGGUACUUAUAAGUCAGUAGCUGUGAGCAAUGCCGGGGUUGUGAGUUCGAGCCUCACCUGGGGAA
rfam:Oryctes borbonicus contig17074, whole genome shotgun sequence.